rnacentral:sRNA from 1 species
GCUGGGUGUGAUGGCACACGCCUGUAAUCCCAACAGUUCAGGAGGCUGAGGCAAGAGGAUUGCAAAUUCAAAUAUCAGCCUCAGCAACUUAGUGAGGCCCUAAGCAACUUAGCAAGACCCUGUCUCUG